AAAAACCAAAAGAAUCAAAAUAUUGACAUAAUUUAUCACACCACCUAAUUACACUGUGACUAGUACUUUUACUGUACAGGUACAGUGUAAAACCUAUAUAGAAACUGUACAUCUGUUUUCUGUACGUACCGAAUUAUUCAUGUGCGAUGUCAUGAUGCUAAUGAAUUCAAACAAUUGAAACCGUGAUUGGUUCGACAUGUUGUCGAUUAAAAUCCGAAUUUACCGACUUAAAUUCGCAUUUCAGAUAAACAGAGAAUGUUAUUAUGUUAUUACUCGAUCCCUGCCCCUCAAUGCUUUUAGUUGAAAACUUUUGACAAAUUUAUGCCUCAAUAUUUGCCAUGACAACAGUUAAAAUCAAAAUAUUAAUGUAAUUUCUCAAUUUGCAAUUGUAACACUGUGGAAUAAAAAUGUGUUCAUAAGACCGAAGUCGGUUUAAAAAAAUAGUGUUUCAUGAAAUCAACAAAGAUUGUAUCUAGUUUUUUGAAAUGCUCGAUAACCCUGGAAUGUGUUGAAAACGGAUUGAUCCCCAAAAUUAAAUCUAACUGUACCCCUCUAGUCUCAUUUCUGUUUAGAUAACGAUGAUAGGAAAUGAAGUGAGAGUGGAGGCUAGGGAGGAUUUUAAGGAGGAGAAGGAUGGCCUCACUAAAUCCCAGACACGAGACAUGUUCCGUUGCUUUACCGUUCCCCGGGGAACCACGUCAGCCGACGUCACAAGUGCUCUGUCAGCUGAUGGUCAGCUGACCCUCUCCAUUAAACGGUCCAAGCCAGUACAGAUCCCUAUUGGACAAGGGGAGGAGAUUAAAAUAGAGAAAAUCGGCGAAAGAUCUGCAGAGAAAUCCACGGAAAAACCUGUAGGCCAAAUUGGCGAGAAUCAGAUGUAAUGUAGAAAAAGAAUAGGAAUUUUGCUUUAGAUUAACUAAUGUUAAAUAUUGUAUAUUUAUUGAUAAAUAAAGAUGUCACCAUAA